UACAGAGGGUGCGAGCGUUGUCCGGAAUCACUGGGCGUAAAGGGCGCGUAGGUGGCCCGACAAGUCAAUGGUGAAAGCUCGACGCUCAACGUCGAGUCGGCCACUGAUACUGUUGGGCUGGAGCACUGUAGAGGCUCAUGGAAUUCCGGGUGUAGCGGUGGAAUGCGUAGAUAUCUGGAGGAACACCGGUGGCGAAGGCGGCAUCCUGGACCGGUAUUGACGCUGAUGCGCGAAAGCCAGGGGAGCAAACGGG
rnacentral:rRNA from 1 species